AAGAUGUACUGCAGCAGAUGAGCCACUGGAAGCUUUUUCCGUGUCGGGAUGAUAGAUGACAACACAUCCUAGUCAAGAGUUUGUAUCCUUCAGUUCUCUAAUUGCCUUCUUUCUUGACUGAAAAUACACGAAACGGGAGAGGUUACCCAGAUGGCGUAAAGAGAAAUGAUGCACUUGUAGGUGUUUCUGGUCGGAGAGAGAGGUUCCCUUCAGGAUUUUGGAACUUCUACUCAUUUCUUAAUGAGGUUGCGCUGUUUCUGGCAUCCAUUUGAGAUCUAUUACUUAGGCAAGACAACAUCUUUGAGCAAAG
rnacentral:lncRNA from 1 species